UCCACCUGUCUGGGAUCCAGUGUGGCCCAAAUGGUCACUCAACCUCAACCAGAAGUGUCUGUGCAAGAGGCAGACACAGUGACCCUGGACUAAAGAAGCCAAAUCCUUCCGUCUCAGGAUCUCAGACUCCCAGCUGGAGGAUGCUGCAAAGUAUUUCUGCG